AUUGAACGCUGGCUGCAGGCUUAACACAUGCAAGUCGAGCGGGGUGAUGGUGCUUGCACUAUCACUUAGCGGCGGACGGGUGAGUAAUGCUUAGGAAUCUGCCUAUUAGUGGUGGACAACAUCUCGAAAGGGAUGCUAAUACCGCAUACGUCCUACGGUAGAAAGCAGGGGAUCACUUGUGACCUUGCGCUAAUAGAACAGCCUAAGUCGGAUUAGCUAGUUGGUGGGGUAAAGGCCUACCAAGGCGACGAUCUGUAGAGGGUCUGAGAGGAGGUGCCGCGCGCCGUGGACUGAGUCGCGUCCCAGACUCAUACGGGGGGCGGCAGUGGGGAAUAUUGGAGCAUGGGGGGAAACCUGAUCCAGCCAUGCCGCGUGUGUGAAGAAGGCCUUAUGGUUGUAAAGCACUUUAAGCGAGGAGGGGGCUCUUUUGGUUAAUACCCAAGAUUAGUGGACGUUACUCGCAGAAUAAGCACCGGCUAACUCUGUGCCAGCCGCCGCAGUAA
rnacentral:rRNA from 1 species